CUACGGGAGGCUCCAGUGAGGAAUAUUGCACAAUGGGGGGAACCCUGAUGCAGCAACGCCGCGUGGAGGAUGACGCAUUUCGGUGUGUAAACUCCUUUUAUAUGUCAAGAAAAUGACGGUAGCAUAUGAAUAAGCACCGGCUAACUCCGUGCCAGCAGCCGCGGUAAUACGGAGGGUGCAAGCGUUACUCGGAAUCACUGGGCGUAAAGGACGCGUAGGCGGGUUGGAAAGUCAGGUGUGAAAUCCUACAGCUUAACUGUAGAACUGCACUUGAAACUUCUAAUCUAGAGUAUGGGAGGGGGAGAUGGAAUUAGUGGUGUAGGGGUAAAAUCCGUAGAUAUCAAUAGGAAUACCUAAAGCGAAGGCGAUCUCCUGGAACAUUACUGACGCUAAGGCGUGAAAGCGUGGGGAGCAAACCGGAUUAGAUACCCCCGUAGUC
rnacentral:rRNA from 1 species